rnacentral:lncRNA from 1 species
AACCCCAUCCCUAUGCAAAGGGGAAUGGUGAACCAAGUUCAUGAAUUCACCCUGCCUUUGUAACUGAAACGUGGAUCUGAGACAGCUCUGCUUGGCCCAGGAUUGUCCCAAAUGUCCUUUUAGCUACUUCAUUACAGGCAAUGGGAGAGCCAGAGAGAGCAACUUCAGGCAAAAUGUUGACUCCUGGUGGCGUGCCUUUGAUUCCAGAGCGAAAGUUGUCAAUGAAACAGAAAACAAAACAAAGGAAAAAGCAGGACCUCAAUAAGUAGAAAAUGUGAGACGGUGCAACGAUGAAAGGCUAGCAAAACUGAGUAAGUCUGAAAUUAAAUACGUGGGAUAUCUGCAUUGUGGAAGCACCCUCAGAUAAUACUGAUCUGACUUUGGGAACACUUAGACUUUUCUUUGUUUCAAUGCUUUUCAAAUAGGACUAGAGAAGUAAAACGACACAAAGAGCCUGC